rnacentral:rRNA from 1 species
ACGGAGGCGCGGCGUACAGCUCAGUAACACGUGGCUAACCUGCCCUCGGGACGGGAAUAUCCCCGGGAAACUGGGGCUAAUCCCCGAUAGGUGAAGAACUCUGGAAUGAGUCUCCGCCCAAAAGACGCUUAAAUCAUGCUUUUAGGCGCCGCCCAAGGAUGGGGCCGCGACCGAUCAGGUAGUUGGUGAGGCAACGGCUCACCAAGCCUUUAACCGGUGCGGGCCGUGGGAGCGGGAGCCCGGAGAUGGGCACUGAGACAAGGGCCCAGGCCCUACGGGGCGCAGCAGUCGCGAAAACUUUGCAAUACACGAAAGUGUGACAGGGCUAUCCCGAGUGCCAUCCGCUGAGGAAGGCUUUUACCCAGUCUAGAAAGCUGGGAGAAUAAGGAGAGGGCAAGCCUGGUGUCAGCCGCCGCGGUAAUACCAGCUCUCCGAGUGGUGUGGUUGUUUAUUGGGCCUAAAGCAUCCGUAGCUGGCCAAGUUAGUCCCCUNUUAAAUCNACCGAAUUAAUCGUUGGAGUGCG